AUUGAACGCUGGCGGCAGGCCUAACACAUGCAAGUCGGACGAGCGGCGGACGGGUGAGUAAUGUAUGGGGAUCUGCCUGAUGGAGGGGGAUAACUACUGGAAACGGUAGCUAAUACCGCAUACCAUCAGAUGAACCCAUAUGGGAUUAGCUAGUUGGUGAGGUAACGGCUCACCUAGGCGACGAUCCCUAGCUGGUCUGAGAGGAUGAUCAGCCACACUGGGACUGAGACACGGCCCAGACUCCUACGGGAGGCAGCAGUGGGGAAUAUUGCACAAUGGGCGCAAGCCUGACGCAGCCAUGCCGCGUGAAUGAAGAAGGCCUUAGGGUUGUAAAGUACUUUCAGUGGGGAGGCGUUACCCGCAGAAGAAGCACCGGCUAACUCCGUGCCAGCAGCCGCGGUAAUUC
rnacentral:rRNA from 1 species